UUACAUUUUAAUGUUAAUGGAGUCUGGAAGCUACAGGUCAUACGAUUGAGUUUACAGGGCUCGUCAGCGGUGUGUAUGUGCUGCUUCUUGUACCAGGCCCUUCCAUGCCUUGGGCGGGUGUUAAAGCACCUCGCCGCUGCCAGGUGGUCUGAAAUAACGCGCCAAGCCAGCGCGGGCAUUACCCUUCCAGGCAGCACCGUUCUGAGUGUACUUGGAUCGUUUCGGAUGUGUUUAUCUCGACGUGAUGUCCUGCCACUCUCCACUGAACCGGCCGUCUGGGAUUUCUAUGCAUGUUGGAACAUUCUGUUGAAAGAAAAAUGUAAAUGCUGCAGUAUUUAUAGUCUUUUGUAAAGAAUAUCCUUCACGUUUGUUCUUUUUGGGAAGUGAUGUUGGACAAGUGCUUGAUAAGCUUGGUUUAGAUAUAUUAUUUGAGACACCAGCACUGAAUAAUAUAUAUAUGUCUGUGUUUAUGUGUGGGUCUUCUAUUAAGUGUACCAUUUAUUGCAGAAAAAAACUAUAUUUAGAUGCUGGCAUGACUAAAUGACAGCAAGAGCAGCAAUGAAGUCUAGAUCACUUUGAAGAGUGAGCAUAAUCUAAGGUCUCAAGUUCAUGUUCGCUGCAAAGCUGUUUGCACGUGGUCGGCUCCCGGGGUCAGAGGUUAUUUAAAUUCCAGCACACUGGUGAAUGUGUGCGUGUAUUCGUUGGCAGACUGCCUUAAGCAGUGCGUAAACAGAGAAGCGUUGCGUAAUCGGUUUCGGUUAUCUUAUGAGCGUACAUCCCAAACAUUUCUGCUAAUUAAGUAUGAGAGGGUUUUUCAUUGCUGUCACAUAUGGGGACCACAUGCACUGCAUUGCUUGGAAUGAGGCUGUUCCUUUGCUUUUAAUUACUGCAGCCAGUGCAUGGAACUGCUUAGUGUUACUGAACGUUAGUAUCGGUCAGGGUUAUAAUGAGGAGUUUACAACGCCUCUUGUACAUGCGGGAACAUGCGACGUUGUAGCCCUGCCGUCGCAUGUCAGUGCGUGUUUGAUGGUUCUUGGCUUUUUCUUCAUUAACGUAAGUGACCGUUAUAGCUUGAUUUAAUUUAUAUUUUUGCCUGUCUGAUGGAAAGCUUUCCGAAAAUGAUUCCACAAGACAAAUAACAGCAUGUAAAUUACGAGCAGAUCAGCUGCUACAUAAUCCUUGAUGGUGUAUGUGAAGGCAUAUGGAUUGUGAAGUGAGAUGGGUUGCAUCUGGUGAUUUGCUGACUCUUGGUGUUGUGUUUGCCUCACCUUCGGUAUUCCUGAUAUUGCGUGCAGGUCUGAAACUUGGCUACCUUGUUGUUAAAUGGGAAUCAUUCCCACUGAUGUCAAAGGGACAUGGAGACGUUUCUCCCAACCUUUUGCAGUCUUGUCAAAGUCUGCCCUCUGCUCUGAUCCAUCAGCUGCUGCCUGCACUGGCUUGAUAAAAUGAUAUCCCCCCAACUCUAAAAGGAACAGACAUUAACAGUGCCUUGGAGAGGGUCACAGAGGGCACUGUAAACCUGGACACAACAAUAACGAAGAUCGGAAUAUUUUAGCAGGUUGUUUUCCGUGCCUGAAGUUGACCUGUGGACUUCAUCCUUAUCGUUUAUUUAUGGCAUCAAGAAAAUCCACGGAAUCCAGGUUGACGGCAAGAUCCAAAGCCAAUUCUAUAUCCUGCCACCGCAGCCAUCUGUAGGCCGUAAUUUCUAAGACCCGUGGACCCAUCUAAUAUAUCUCCUACAAUCCCCUGGCAAAUUUAGCUCUGACAAGCAGGGAGUUCCUUCUGCAUAAUGCUGGCACGGCCUUUGAUUUGCCAGUUUUCUGGAUAAACAAGCGAAAGUGGGGUUAUUUAGACACAUGCUUUGAAACGAAGUCGUAUCUCUCUUCAGGGUGAUCGUCUUCACUGUCAUUCUUAGGUCUGUUAGGCUGUGUUUAUCUAUUUCUGCUCUCUUUUCAAUCAGAAAAGCUUUUUACCGUUACUUCAUUUGGAAAGUGUGGAUGAGAGGUGCUGCAGGGAAUGGGCUAUAAGAACCAGUGACAAACAGCUGAAUGCGAAUUGGACGAGACUGUUUAUCACACAGCAGUGUAAUAAUGUACUGCAGAAGAUUGUAUCAAACUGAUGCGUCCUGGACUUUGUGUGCAAUCUGAAGUAUGAAAAGGUCAAACUAUUAUCUUCUGUUUUUCUUAUAUAAAUAUUACAAGGCAUUUAAGAAUGUUUUAAUUGAGUGUUUUAAAAAAAAUCCUUUCUUAAACUUUAUGGAACUCUUACAUGCAGUUCAUGAGCGUCACUGGUAAGAUAAUUGUAAUCAGUGAUUAGCUUACUGCAGGACGGAGGUUCCUGGAUAUACGUCAUAUAAAGUGCUGAAAUACAGCCUUGUUUCAAAUUUUACCCUAUGUUGCUCUUGCCUUUCAAACAUGGAUGAAACGUCGUAGAUUACCUCUUUCAAUAAAGAAACAACUUGUUUUUACAAGCAUUAGCAUUGUAAGCAUUACCAGUAUUAUAAAUGUAAGGAAUAUUUACUAUGUUUAUGAUUUUACAUUACCGUGCAUAAGCAGGGUAUGAAAUUUAAUCAAAAUUGGGACCUAGCUGUAUUCUACAUAAACAACGUGGACUAAUAAAACAGCCUAUAUAACCUCACUAGUACCUGGUUAUCUGACAUCACAUCACCAUUACUAUUCACUUCCUUUUUCACUGACCAUUUUGCUGAAGAUGUAGCUGUUCACAAGUACAACAAAAUGAUUGUUUCCACGAACUGGACAUUUGGGAUUUGGGAUUUUACACUGGUACACCAGCAGUGAAGUGGCAUAAAUAUUUCAAGUGAGGUUGCAUCUAAUAACAUAUUUAUGAGUUUUGAACAUCGUGGUCACAAGUACACCACACUAUAUAGACAAAAGUAUUGGGACAAGCUUCUUGAUCAUUGAAUUCAGGUGUUUCGUUCAGAUCCACUGCCAUAGGUGUAUAAAAUCAAGCACUUCGCCAUGCAGUCAGGCUCACAAAUAUUUGUGAAAGAUUAGGUCAUUCUGAAGAGCUCAGGGAACUCAAGUGUGGUGCUGUCAUAGGAUGCCACCUUUGCAAUAAGUCAAUUAGUGAAAUUUCUCCUCUGCUAGAUAUUCUACAGUCAACUGUAAGUGGUAUUA